CGGGGAGUACUCGGCCUUGGAGACCUUGUUUUACAACCAUGCACGAGACCCAAAGACUCACAGCCUAGCACUAGUGAGCCAGUGAGGUAUGUUCUCAAAUAUUACUUCCUUUUCAGUUUACUAUCGACUGCCAUUUUAAAAUUUUAGGGUCUUCACGAGAUUUGAAUGUUGGAAUAUUUAUAAUCAAGAAAUUUGAUGUAAUUAGAAGUGAAACUGUGCUUAAAAGAAAGUGUGACUGUUUGUAUUAUUGUGCUGAUUGGUUUAGGUUGUGUCAUUUAGUUUAAUGGUUAUUUAAACGUUUCAUGUAAGGGUAUAAAUGCCCAUUAACGACGACAUUUGUAAGUGUGUGAAAUAGAAUAUUAGUGUGUGGUUCUUUGUAUCUCUGUUUCACCAAGAGAGUCCCUGCACAUUCAUGUGUAUACUCAUAUUCGUAUAUUGUUCAUUCAAGCAUAUCUAAAUUGAUCCAAGCUUUAUAAUUAAACACGGGUCCUUUUAUUGAAGACUCAAGCUCAUAACCCAACACUAGUCAGGUAUGUUUUCAAAUAUAACUACCCUUUCAAUUUAUUAACCGAAUUUUGUUUUAGAAUUUCAUGUAUUUCACACGGGACCAGAAGACUGCACCUAACAGCCAAGCAUUAGGUAGUUAUGUUCUUGAACCUUCAUUUUAAGUUUACUAAGCAACUUCUGUUUUAAAAUGUCAUUUUUUUUUCUGCACGAUACUUGAAACCUACAGCUUAUCACAGCCCAUAAGUAGUCGGCAUGUUACACCUACUAACCAACUUUCGUUUUAAAGUAGACAUUUUUCUACAUGAGAUCCCAAGGCUGCAACUCACAGCCCCGCACUAGGCAGGACUUGAAGAAUGCAUUGCAUCUCACAACUCAGCGCUAGUCUGUUUACAACUGGCUUCAAAUUUAAACUUAUCGGUUUUUCACGAGACUUGAAGACUCCAGCUCAUAACCCCAACACUAGUCAGUUAAGUUUUCGAGUAUUACUUCCUUUACAAUUUACUAACAGACGAUUAUUUAAGGAAUUUCAUGUGUUUUGCACGAGACUCAAAGACAGCUUCUCAUGCCAAACACUAUUGAGGUUUUUCUUCGCGAGAUUCAAAGACGGCUGUCCUCACAACCUAACACUAUUGAGGUAUGUUCUAGAAUCUUACUUCUUUUUUCAGUUUUACUACCCGUCCACUGUUUUAAGUUUCACAUUUUUUUCUACAUGAGGCUUGAAGACUGUAGCUCACAGCGAAACACACGCAACGUAUGUCAUGAGUCUUAAUUUCUUCCCGGUUUACUAAUCAACUUCCAUUUUAUUAUGUCAAGUUUUUAGAAGAUAGGGUAGGGUUUAGCUACAAAAUCCAAAUUUCCUAAAAAAGUGCAAAAAGUCAUAAAACACUAUGAUUUCAGCCAUAAAACACACCUAAAACCCACAAAUAACAAAGUAAAGAUUACUAAAAUACCAUAU